rnacentral:lncRNA from 1 species
UGCCUCAGCUUCUCCAGAUAAAUUUUUGGGUCUUCUUCCCACCUUCACAGCAGAAGGUUGCGCUAAAAGAAAAGAAGGAUCAAAACUACGAAUGGAGAUGGAAGCAUCUGAUCCUGAAUUGUUCCGAUUCAAGCUUAACAAACUAGAGGAAAAAAAGUAAGUUAGGCUGGAAUUUUUUCUUCCGUGUCAUUUUGGAAUUUGUCUGUUUAAAUCUGCCACAGUCACUGAUAUGGCCUCUAAUUGAACGUAUUUCUGCCAAACAGAACUAUGUGCAUUAAGACAUGAGCCCUGAUAUGCCUAUAUUCUCAUGUGUCUCAGGGCUCAUGUCAUGAUGCACAUAAUUCCGUUUGUCAGAAAUACGUCUAAUUAGACGACAAUUGUCAGACUGACAAUAAGCUUAGUGGAAGUAUGUAGGAUGCCAUUGCUUUGUCAGCUAAACCUGUAAUGAUAAUAACAACUUUAUUGGUCAAAGAAAUGUACAAAACAGGCAUAAAAAUGUGUCAAUUAUACAUCUGAAUACCACCUUAAAUUGAAAUAAACCACAGCUAAUUAAUUUCACUAAUUCAUUAGUUCAGUAAUGGAAUAAAAUGCCUCGUCAAUUCAAAAGUUUUUUGGAAUUUAUUGGGAAAAGUCUUGAUAUCUGUUACAUCUUUGAAGGAGAGGGCAUCAAAAUCUUUCUCACUUGGAUGUAUUUCUGCCGAAUAGAACCAUGUGCAUUAUGACGUGAGCCCUGUUAUGCAUAUAUUCUUAUGGGUCUCAGGGCUCAUGUCUUAAUACACAUAGUUCCGUUUGGCAGAAAUACGUCCACUUGGCACUUGGGCACUUCUUUCACGUGUUAGUUUAUUUUAAUUUUUUAUCUCUCCUUCUCCUUUUCACCAGACUUACCAUCUUACCCAAGUAUUUGGAAAUGCUGGAACAUAUCAAACAAGACAAGAAAUUGUCGAAGGUCCUAGCAGGUGUUGCGGCUAGAGCUGCCCGUUCAGAAUCCUUCAUGUCUUCUUCAUCUGCCACAUUAGAUCUCACCUCAGCAGAGGAUGAAACGUUUUCAGUGUGUUCACAGACUCAAAGUAAAUUGAACGAAGUAGUUAACAAAAUUCAAGCUCGCAGGAGCGGGAAAGCUGAAACUCCAGAAGCUGAAACUUUUUCUAGUCCACGAGAAAGGAGGCCCUAUUUAACGCAAGACUUCGUUUUUGGAAUGGAAUGUUUGAAUCCUCCAUUAUCUUUUGGUGAGAGAUACAGCCUGCUGUUUUAUAGGCCUGUCAUUGUCAACUUCAUAGCUAAAAUCCACUACAAUGUGGUCAGCCAAAUAGCAACCAGAUCAUAUUGACCUCAAUCUUAUUCUAUAAUCGUUGCUCUUUUGACGUACGGGCGUAACUCUAUUUAUGGAUAAGCCCUAUUAUACAUUUAACUCCCUCCUUUCUGGGGCUCAUGUGAAAAUUAAGGUACACCUUUAUGUCAAAGGAGCACUGAAAUGUCAUAAUGUAGGUGGAAAUAAUCAAUUUUAAGAGCAAACAGAAGGUUGUUCCACUAACAGAGUGCUUUUGUCAGGUGGAUUUAAAAAAAAUGAAAAAUCAAAAGGAUUGGGGAAAACCAGGGUUAGGUUAACAUUGUCACUUAAUCAAUGAUUUUGGUUUAAUUUACUAAAUAUUAAAUAUUCAUCCCAGCAUUAAAGUUUGUCUGCAAAAUUAUUUGUAUUUGGCAAGUAAUGAAAAAACUACCAUGAGUGCCUCCUAAAGUUCCCAACUGCACUUAUGAAACACAUGUUCCAUGUUAUCUGUGUAGGGAUGUUACCUCACAUUCCAUCUUGCUUUAGGCAUAGGAUAGUUUUGAAAUAUGAUGCUCAAAAAUUCUUGGAAAAGUUGUUAAAAAAUCCUCAAUUUUUUUAUUUGUCAACAUGACGUACAUAGCUACUCUAUUCAGCGAUUUACAUCAAAGAUUUUUUCAUUGGGAAAAAGUCAAAAAUUCUCCUAGGCAAUCAGAACAUUAACUUUUGCUUUUCCUCCUCAGAUGAUGUGCCUCCUCAGUCUCAAAAAUUUCAUCUUCUAUCAGAUGUCCUGUGGUGCAUGCUUGGUUGCAGUGGCAAAUACAUAACAGUAAAUCCCAUCACAGAACCAUGGGAGUUACCUACUUUUGAUUUUCCAGAAAAUAUUGGUGCGUAAACAAAUGACACAUUUCAUUAUAUUCUGCCGUAGUCCACGUCAUGAAAAGCAGUGGGUGAGGGAUGGAGUCAGGUGAGCAAGACAGUUCACUAUUUAAGGGCUGAUUGGCCUUGGCAAGCCUGAGGUGCAUGUAUGAGCUAAGGUACCUUAGUUCUAACCCUUCAGCAAUACCCCAAGCCAAUCACUGACUCCCUAGGUGCUUAUUCGUACAUUACAAAUCGCAAUUUGUUUUAUUUGUUGACACCCACCCACUCCUUUGAACGUAUUUGUAAUGCUGGUCCAGACACCUACUAAAAAAUUGUGUAACAUUUGCCUUACCCCCCUCCCCCUGUCAUAGAAAAGAAACUU